UCAAAAAAAUUAAAUAAUAAGUAAUAUAACAAAAAGAACAGAAAAAUACCAUAAACAAUUACCGCUCGGCUUUAAGAAAUCGGCUUGGAUCGGUUGGCUCUAGACUCAAGAGCUGCCUAAAGGCUCGACGGCUUAGCUUCUGCUAGGAAAUGGCUUCACAGCUCAAAAUCAAAUUUGUGGAGCAGGUCGCAACUGGGUUGGGUCUUCAAAUGGACUAGUGUGCGGAUCUUGAAGCGGCUCAAGAGGAACCCAGUUUUUCUUACCCAAAACAACAUCAUUUUCUUUACUGUAUAAAAGCCCCUUUUAAAGUUCUUUUUCUCAUUUUCAUAUUUUAACUUUCUCUCUCUAAGAACUAUUUUUACUUUUCUCUCUCUAGGUUUCAAAUGAACAAGGUAAUUCUUCAAGCCUUCCUUAAAAAUAUGUGAUACUCCGUCGCCGUAGCUGUCACAUACCACCGAUCGUUGGCUGUUCCCCAGUGGCCGAAAAUGUUCUAAAAAAUAUGCACGAGCUUGUCACGGCCUUUUCUUUCACGUGCCCUAAUUGGUUUCUCUAAAAACUUGUUAGGCUUUUGUCGAUUUGAGCUUGAAGUCGCAGUUUUCCCUCUUUUCUCUGUCGCUCUGAUGGCCGCCUCCUUUAGGUAUGUUCUUCCUCUUCUUCUUGGCUAACUUCUCAGCAAGUUUUGAAUUCCAAAACUAUGUUGAACCAGUCAAGUUAAAAACCCAAAUUUACUUUUCUUUUUUUUUUUUCUUUACAACUAUUUGAAUUUUGAUUUCUGGACUUGUGUGUAUUUUUUUUGUUUGCUGCCAGGCCUGGUUUCUUUGGAUGGUUGUUGGUAAUUGGUGGGUUAGGUUUUUUAUUUGGGUUGUUUGCGUUAAAUAUAUGUUUUUGGCUUUGCUUGGUUUUGGUAGGUGUCGAUUUCGUGAAGAUCUAAUAGUAAGGCAGUAAAGUAGUCGAGGCUGGCACCGUGAUCUCGGUUGGGAUUGAGAUUAUGGCAAAAGGUUUGUGAUUUAGAUGGAAAUGGAUUUUGCAGGGGGCGUAUCGCAUCUAUGUGAUUUUCGAUUAUAGAGGCUGGAAUUUAUGGUUGUUCUGGUCGUGGCUGACUAAUGAUGGUGAGGACAAUUUGGUAACUGGCUGACCAAUGAUGGUGAGGAGGAAUUGGUAACUGGGUAAUGGGCUAAGGCUAGUUUGGAGAUGGUGCACUGGCCUCUAAGGAUGAUCCGUUGCAAUUAAGGCAGUGGACUGUCUUGAAUUUUGGAGUUGAAGGUGCUGGUGGUGAAGAUUGAUUUUUCUCUGGUUGUGCCUUUGAUUGGCUGUUUAUGGGGUUAAUGGUAGUGGCAAUGGUGGACAUAACUGGAUUUGAUCAAAAUUUUACUGUUGUGAUUGGCUUAUGUGGGAUGGGUUGUUUUCUGGCAUUGGCACAGAGAUGAUGGUGGGAUGGAAAGUUGUGAUGGUAGAUAUGGUUGGGCUAUGGUGAAUUAGAGAUAGUUAGAUGCUAAAUUGAGAAUGAUGGCAGUGCUGAUCAGGGGAUUUUUCUCUGGCUGAUUGCUUUUUCUGUAAUGGUUUAUUCCUUUGGUUUUUCUAUGUGAUUUUUCUCUAAUUUUUUCGUAUUGACUUGUAUAUCUUCUGGAAGUGAAUUGCAAGUCCAUUUGUAAUUAAGGUUUGCAGAGUUUCAAAUUGUCUUGGAUUCAAUUUCCAAAAGCUUUGCAUUAUCAUCAAGAAAAAUUCAUAUUCAAACUUAAAUCCAGUUUCUAUCUUUUCUCAGCUCUAUCACCAAUUCCUCCUCCUAGUUAAUUCGGUC
rnacentral:lncRNA from 1 species